rnacentral:rRNA from 1 species
ACGGAAGGCAGCAGUGGGGAAUAUUGCACAAUGGGGGAAACCCUGAUGCAGCGACGCCGCGUGAGUGAAGAAGUAUUUCGGUAUGUAAAGCUCUAUCAGCAGGGAAGAUAAUGACGGUACCUGACUAAGAAGCCACGGCUAACUACGUGCCAGCAGCCGCGGUAAUACGUAGGUGGCAAGCGUUAUCCGGAUUUAUUGGGUGUAAAGGGUGUGUAGGCGGGACUGCAAGUCAGAAGUGAAAAUCAUGGGCUCAACCCAUGACCUGCUUUUGAAACUGUGGUUCUUGAGAGUGGGAGAGGUAAACGGAAUUCCUGGUGUAGCGGUGAAAUGCGUAGAUAUCAGGAGGAACACCGGUGGCGAAGGCGGUUUACUGGACCAUUACUGACGCUGAGACACGAAAGCGUGGGGAGCAAACAGGAUUAGAUACCCUGGUA